rnacentral:rRNA from 1 species
GACAGAGGGUGCAAACGUUGUUCGGAAUUACUGGGCGUAAAGCGCGUGUAGGCGGCCCUGCAAGUCGGAUGUGAAAUCCCACGGCUCAACCGUGGAAGUGCAUUCGAAACUGCAGGGCUAGAGUCCUGGAGAGGAAGGUGGAAUGCUUGGUGUAGAGGUGAAAUUCGUAGAUAUCAAGCGGAACACCGGUGGCGAAGGCGGGUCUCUGGGACGGUACUGACGCUGAGACGCGAAAGCGUGGGGAGCGAACAGG